UUUAACUUGAGAGUUUGAUCCUGGCUCAGAAUCAACGCUGGCGGCGUGCCUAACACAUGCAAGUCGAACGCGAAAGGGGAGCAAUCCCUGAGUA
rnacentral:rRNA from 1 species